rnacentral:sRNA from 1 species
AGGAAGAAGAAGAAGAUCCAGUAUUCAUUACCUCUAAGUGGCUUAAAACAGAAAGCAAACAUGUGCACAUUAACUAUGGAGUCCUGAUCAAGACAUGGUCCUGCCCAUAGCCAAUCAUUGUCUUGACUCCAAUAUCUCUUACGAGUAGUCUGACAAAUUGUUAGAACUGUGGGAGAAAAGUUAACUGACCUGGUUAGUACCAGGGCCCUACCUAGACUUUUCUUGUCUAGUGAGAUUCCUCAGGAAAUUCCAAUUCCUUGGAACCCACUGUUUUAAGAGUCUAAUAGGCAAAAGGAAGGCCUUGUACCUUUGUACCAGUUGGGAAGAUUAUAGCAAGAGUAGAUGUUGUCUGUCAUUGCUGUUUGUCAGAUCAUCCUCCUUCAUUUAUGAAGUAAAUUGAUUUGUUUGUCUAUUAUCUGACAUCUACCCCCUUAUAUAAGAGAAUUUCCCCAAGAGAGUAGCCACAUGUUUCUCCUUUGUUCUGAUACAUUGUUUGCCUAGCAUGAUGUGUGCCACCUUAGAGACACUCAAAUAAUAAGCGGUGUAAGAGGAACUAGCUCUCCAGAUGGGUAUUUCCUGGGAGUUUCAAAAGCCACCCCCAGAGAUAAGAUAGGCUAGGGAGGGUGACUGAGGCAGCCUGGAGCCCCUGUGAGACCAGGUGGGACCUUUGUCACAUGCUCUACUCUGGAUUCCAUUUUUCACCAGGCUUUUGUUUAUAUCAUAAAACAGCAGAGAAACCCCAGGGGUGCGUAGGUCCUUCUCCUCCAUCUGGUCCAGCAUCUCAUCACAGAAGAGGAAGAACAAACAGAGGAGAAGGUGUACCUGAUCCCAUGCUUCCUAGGAGAGAAAAGGACUUCCCUCAAAACCAUGUGACAGGACCGCGGGAGCCCACUGGGAGUGGAGUUCGAAUAAGCCUGUGGAAUGCAGAAGGAGGGGAGUUCAUAACCAAAAGUGAGGAAGACCCGGCAGCCUCAGAGAGACCAAACAGUGACUAAUCAUCACGCCAGUGGCCAUGGCCUUGUCCAUCCAUCUCUGUCCUUACCUCGCUGUGGACCAUCACCAAGUCACCCUGCCCCUCUGUGUCUCUUUAGUCGCCUCAGGUCAAGUUGAAGGGGUAUGAAUUGAUAAAGGGUGGCAAGGGCAGAAGCUGGGGUUAUUGACAAAGAGAGCACUAGGGUGCUAAUCCUGCUGUUGUCUUUGCUGAACUAUUGUGUGUAAAGACUUCUUAUGCCUGUGGCGUCCAUGGAGUUGACUCAAGAACAUCAGGGGAGAGCCAAUGAACAGUGCUCCUCCACGACCUCUGCUUCAGUUCCUGCCUCCAGCUUCCUGCCUUGCUUCGAGUUCUUUUCCUGACUUCCUCCAGUGAAGGACUUUGAUGUGGAAGGGGACAGACCUUCUCAGGCUUUAAGAGGCACAAUCUCUGGGCCAUAAAAGUCAACAGUUCACGGGGNAG